AUUGAACGCUGGCGGCAGGCCUAACACAUGCAAGUCGAGCGAGCGGCGGACGGGUGAUUAAUGUAUGGGGACUGCCCGCUAGAGGGGGAUAACUACUGGAAACGGUGGCUAAUACCGCAUACUAUUGGAUAACCCAUAAGGGAUUAGCUAGUAGGGGGGGUAAAGGCUCACCUAGGCGACGAUCUCUAGCGGGUCUGAGGGGAUGAUCAGCAACAGUGGGACUGAGACAAGGCGUAGAAGCGAAGGGAGGCAGCAGUGGGGAAUAUUGCACAAUGGGCGCAAGCGUGAUACAGCCAUGCCGCGUGUAUGAAGAAGGCCUUAGGGUUGUAAAGUACUUUCAGCGGGGAGGCGUUACCCGAAGAAGAAGCACCGGCUAACUCCGUGCCAGCAGCCGCGGUAAUAC
rnacentral:rRNA from 1 species